GAUGAACGCUGGCGGCGUGCCUAAUACAUGCAAGUCGAGCGGUAAGGCCCCUUCGGGGGUACACGAGCGGCGGACGGCUGAGUAACACGUAGGAACGUACCCCAAAGUGAGGGAUAAGCACCAGAAAUGGUGUCUAAUACCGCAUGUGGCCUUCGGGCUAAAGCUCCGGCGCUUUGGGAACGGCCUGCGCAUGAUUAGCUUGUUGGUGAGGUAAUAGCUCACCAAGGCGAUGAUCAUUAGCUGGUCUGAGAGGAUGACCAGCCAGACUGGGACUGAGAACGGCCCAGACUCCUACGGGAGGCAGCAGUAGGGAAUUUUCCACAAUGGGCGAAAGCCUGAUGGAGCAACGCCGCGUGCAGGAUGAAUGCCUUUGGGUUGUAAACUGCUUUUAUAUGUGACGAUUAUGACGGUACCGUAAGAAUAAGCACCGGCUAACUACGUGCCAGCCGCCGCCGUAA
rnacentral:rRNA from 1 species